rnacentral:rRNA from 1 species
AAAUUGAAGAGUUUGAUCAUGGCUCAGAUUGAACGCUGGCGGCAGGCCUAACACAUGCAAGUCGAGCGGAAACGAGUUAUCUGAACCUUCGGGGGACGAUAACGGCGUCGAGCGGCGGACGGGUGAGUAAUGCCUAGGAAAUUGCCCUGAUGUGGGGGAUAACCAUUGGAAACGAUGGCUAAUACCGCAUGAUGCCUUUGGGCCAAAGAGGGGGACCUUCGGGCCUCUCGCGUCAGGAUAUGCCUAGGUGGGAUUAGCUAGUUGGUGAGGUAAGGGCUCACCAAGGCGACGAUCCCUAGCUGGUCUGAGAGGAUGAUCAGCCACACUGGAACUGAGACACGGUCCAGACUCCUACGGGAGGCAGCAGUGGGGAAUAUUGCACAAUGGGCGCAAGCCUGAUGCAGCCAUGCCGCGUGUGUGAAGAAGGCCUUCGGGUUGUAAAGCACUUUCAGUCGUGAGGAAGG